GACAGAGGUCCCGAGCGUUAGGCGGAAUCACUGGGCUUAAAGCGUGUGUAGGCGGCGGCCUAAGUACCUUGUGAAAUCCCACGGCUCACCCGUGGAACUGCUCGGUAUACUGGGUCGCUUGAGCCACUUAGGGGCUACCGGGACAAAUGGUGGAGCGGUGAAAUGCGUAGAUAUCAUUUGGAACGCCAAUGGUGAAAACAGGUAGCUGGGAGUGUGCUGACGCUGAGACACGAAAGCCAGGGGAGCAAACGGG
rnacentral:rRNA from 1 species